UUACGCUCUGGUAUAAACAAAACAAGUUUCUCAUUUGCUCGUCGUGUAUACCACAGACGAUUAUACAUUAAAAUUUAUUCAUUCGAUCAGAUAGCAUCGAGAGCGAGCCGUACAAAAUUCUAAAAUAUCAAUUCGAUAAAUUCUUAAUUCCGAACAACUUUCGAAUAAAUCUGUUACAAAUCUAAAAAUCUCGUAUCUCCAAAAACACUUCACACGUUCGAAAAAUUCAUGUAUAAACUCGUAUCCUUGUCGCACAACUUCGUUGUAAAAGUUUCGUGGUCAAAACUAUUCACGUCUUUGAAGAAAAGGGGGGGAAAAAAUUACACGAGUACGCUCGUGAUAUAAAAGCGCAGCAGGCGGUUUCGAUCACAAUGGCAGUUUCCUGCUGGUGUCAAGUUGAUUAGCCUGAGCCGUGGAGUUUCGAGGCACGUGUCCUUCGUGGGUAACCGUUAUGUGGACGUGACCUAUGUCGUCGUCCAUAGCGGAGGCCUAGGAUCAAUGAGCGAUCGUUUCUUGGAAGUUCUUGGGAUUAUAUGCCCGUGGCUAUGCACAAUGUUUCCACUCCUAACGGUCCUCCAGUGUGCACCAGUGACCCGUACAAGCGCAAACUUCGCCCCGCCGUAUUGUUCUCCGUCCAAUCAGACCACUUGCCUACCCUGUUCUCUUCUCUAAUUGUCGCUAAUAAGCGUAUUUUAUCGAUCUUUCUUGUUGCUCGGAGAGAAGAUCUGGGAACGAGAUGUUGGAAUUUCAUCGAUCUGAAAAAAAAGAGGAGACCGUAAAUUGGAAAUCUUUAUCCUAACUCUUCAAAAAGUCGAGCGUUCACAACAAGUCCUCUCGGACGAUCCAUCUUAAUUCUAUCUUGUCACGAGGAUUAGAAAAAAAUGUCCGGAUAACUAAACUGGUCCUCUUCAAUAAUGCUCGUCCCCCGUAUUUCUUUUUUCCGUGUACGCAUUUGACGCUUACGAGGACGACAUGUUCGGUUUUUUGCCGCUCAAAUUCCUCGCCUGUCACCUAAUUCGAUCCGCUCUCGAAAGAACGAUCUCGACUCUUUUUCAAUUCUUUUUCGGGGAGGACUGGUUUUCGGCUUCUUAGAUUCGCCGAUUAAGAUAAAUCUAAGCGUACGUGUAGAAUACGGGGGGAUGGCGUGACAAUUCGACCUGGCUGACGCGAAAUCCUGUUAACAACUCCGAAUUAAUACCCAACAUCGCGUUUCGUGACCUGCCUCGACCACGUUCCUUGAGAUUAAAUUUUAAGUCUUGCCAAUUCAAAAGAUUAUCAACUAUUUAAAUUAUCCAAAUCCUGCAAAAAUCUUACAUUACAAUUACCCAUCCCUAAAUCAUCGUGCAAUACACUCUGAACCGUAUCCUCGUUAAAAAAAAAAUCCAAACCCAAAUCCAAUCUCUACCUUUAUCCUUCUCGCCACGAAAGAACGAUAUCUCGAAUUUCCCCUCGCACGCACGCCAUAAAACACCCUCCUCCUCCUCCUCUUUCCAGAUCCGAAUCGGCAGACAUACGGACUCAAUCUCGUCGAAUGAUACAGGAAACUUUUCCAUCGAAGUAAUUCCGCUCAUUACAUCCACGCCGCUCAUCACGCCGCGGUGAUGAUGAUACCCUAUCGCGCGAAGGCACGAGAGACGAGUUAGCCGUUUGUAACGAGGACGAGGGUGAUAAAUUUUCGCGUGUCGGCUAACAAGACCGCUCGAAAAUUGCACGGCCUUUCUUAGAAAUUCACCGCCACCUGGUCCUUCGCCACCUGGUUUCGUCUAUAAGCGGAGGAGAGAAGGAGAGAUGGAGACGUAGGCGUCUAAGGGACAACGUCCUGGCUUUCAGGAGCGGAUCUUCUAUGCCGUUCUCCACCGACUCGAAACGGGGGGAGAGAGAGAAAGAGGAUUCGUGCAUCAAGAUCGGAUCGAUUCUCAAGAACGAGAAAGUAAUGGCCCAUGAAAAUUCACGAGGUACGGAGCAGGGAGCGAUAGGCUGCGUGUGAAGGAAUAUCCGUGCGUCGAAAAGGACAAUUAGACCCUUUAUCCGGCCAGGUGAAAUUCGAGGAUGGAAAAGAGCGGUGAUGCAGACGUGGAAGGUGCAGUCGCAGUGAAACGACCGAAUAAACAGCGGCGGAUGGAAUCUCGAACUUUUAAGAGUUCGAAAUUCUCGAACAACGAGCAACCGAAUCGAAGCGUGUCAAACCGAGAGUGUCGAACAAAGGUUCGAGCUGCUGGCCUAUAGGGAGAUAAAAAGAUAGAGAGAGAGAGAAAUAAAGAAAACCUCGCUCGAUUCCACCCUCCCCCCCUCCAACGCUUUAUCUUCCUUUCUAGAGCCGAUUCGAAAGGCCUUAGGCUGCCGGUUCGAUUCAUCGUUCCAUCCUCGAAACCGAGGGAGAGAGAGGGAGAGAAAAAAUCCCUAUACACCCGAUUCGUAGAUUGCGAGUCUCAAGGCGACUUCUCUCCUCCGCUGGUACAAUCGCGGUCGGUCGUAUAUAAGCCAAGAUGAAUCCCCCAGCCAUCGGUACGCGUAAUGUCUUCAUUGAAGACGUUGCCUCUCCUAUCAUAAUCUCGCUAUGAUGGACGAGCGGUCUUUAUGCGGGGACGCGGAAUGGAACGAGAUUAAACGAACGGUCAUCAAUAGCGUGAAAGGCUUGGUAUAUCCCGCGUUCGAAAUGGGGAAAGGGGGUGGAAGGGAAGGGGCCGGGCGGACGACUCAAUUAGUUCUCGAGUAUAGUUCUGUCCUUCUCCGAUCGCGGCGCGACGCGUGAAACUCUUUUCGAUGUUGGUGCGCAUGCGCGGUUUGCAGCGGUGACAAAUAACGGUGAGGAAGAUUGAUCGCGCCUAACCUAGACGGAGAGUAUCGAUGGAGAGUUUUUUCUUUUGUUACGUUGGAUCUUCUUCGUGGAAUAGAAUUGAUCCGUGUAUCUCGUGUACUUUGAAAAGAAGUAUUCCGAGAUUUUAUAUUGUUACGCGUCGCAUCGAAAAUCCAACGAAAGGAUAACCUCGUUUUAUUUCUCUUGUCCGCUAUUACGAAACGUGUGGGAAAAGGAUUCCUUUCGCGCCUCGAUUCAAAAUCGCGUCUAUCGUAACAACGUUGCAACGCACGAUCGUAUUUUCGAAAUUCGAAAGAAAGCGUUCCACUUCUCGAUAAUAUCGAAGAACGAUGUCUAGACUGCAUGAUAAAUAUAACCUGAAUACUUGUUAUAGACGAGAGAAAGCAAUAAUAAUUAAUAUCACGUGUAUCAUUUUUAAGAAAAUUUGAUUUCGAGUCUUGAACAUAUUAAAUUGGAAAAUUUAAGGAACGAUUUUUCAUUCGGUGAAAAAUUAAGAAUAAAAAAGAUCUAUAUCUUUGCUUUCUAAUUUCUUCUUCUCCAUCCUCCUGUAUUCAUAUUCAAAAUAAAAAUAUUGCAAAGGAUUUAUACUUUAACAACAUCCAAGGAAGAAGAAAUCUAAUAUUGAUAUGAAGUUGAAGAAAAGAAGAAAAAUAUCCAAAAAGGAUCCACGAGAUGGGUCACCAAGAACUGCCAUGAGGGAUGGAUCAGCUUAGAUCGGGUCUCAAUAGGGAUGGUAGAGCAGGGCGCCCCAGGGAGAGAGGGUAGGCGGAUUAUUUGCAUUUUAAUUUGCAUAUUAAAACACGGCUCGUCGAUCAAGCAAGCUGGGCCGCGAAAUAUGAUAGGCUGAGCUCCGUGGCCGUCGCAUUAACGUUGUAAAGGUGAGUUACACGACCGCAAGGCAACCCGACGGCCAUGAGAUCGUUCACGCAUGCCGAUCUUGAAAUAUGCACCCGUGGACCAAGAUUACCGUGCAACGAUAGCGCCGUUGUCUCGAUCGAUAUCCCGACCGAUAUCGCGUCCUUGCGAUUCACUGUUUGCAGAAGAAACCGAGGGAGAACGAUGCAUGGAACUCGAGAAUAGACGAGUUUUAGGUCGUUACUCGCGAUUUUCGUCGAUAUCUUAGUCGAUAUUCCUGGAUGGAAUAUGGGACGAGUCGUAAAAUGUGCAAGGAAGGCGUUUAUUUUCUUCUUUUGAGAUACUUGUUUCAGAUUUAUAGUUGAAGACAAGGUUAAGGAUCUUAAGGGAAGAGUUUUGUAUGAGAGUGUGAUAGAUGUUAUACAGUGAAAAAGGAUUUUAAUUGAUUAAAAAUGGAACUUGCCAAAAGUAAAAUAGUUAACAGGCACAAAAAUGUUUAAAUAAUUAAAUUCAUUGAAUAGAUUGAGGAUAAGAAUGUAUGAUUGAAAGUG